rnacentral:misc_RNA from 1 species
UUCAUAUUCUUUGGAUGUUGGAUUCUAACACUCCCCUUCAAGUGCAAUUACAUGGUUGUCACUUGAUAAUUAGUUUGUAUUUUUAUUUUUAUCCCAAUACGGGCCCAAUUAUACAGUCUUAUGGGCGGCUGAAACCCACAACCCAGUUUGGGCUUUGAUGCCAUAUUAAAUUCGAAGAGAGUAUCGAUCAAAUUAUAAUCAAUUCAU